rnacentral:rRNA from 1 species
AUUGAACGCUGGCGGCAUGCUUUACACAUGCAAGUCGAACGGCAGCGCGGGCUUCGGCCUGGCGGCGAGUGGCGAACGGGUGAGUAAUGCAUCGGAACGUGCCCAGUCGUGGGGGAUAGCCCGGCGAAAGCCGGAUUAAUACCGCAUACGACCUGAGGGUGAAAGCGGGGGACCGAAAGGCCUCGCGCUAUUGGAGCGGCCGAUGUCGGAUUAGCUAGUUGGUGGGGUAAAGGCUUACCAAGGCGACGAUCCGUAGCUGGUCUGAGAGGACGACCAGCCACGCUGGGACUGAGACACGGCCGAGACUCCUACGGGAGGAAGCGGUGGGGAAUUUUGGACAAUGGGGGCAACCCUGAUCCAGCCAUGCCGCGUGCGGGAAGAAGGCCUUCGGGUUGUAAAACGUUUUUGUUCGGGAAGAAAUCCUCUGGGCUAAUACCCCGGGGGGAUGACGGUACCGGAAGAAUAAGCACCGGCUAACUACGUG